AAAGACUUGACGGUGCUUUAAAGCAACCUAGAGGAGCCUGUCUAAUAACCGAUACCCCACGAUUAACCCAACCUGUUCUUGCCAAACAGUCUAUAUACCGCCGUCGCCAGCUUACCUUGUGAAAGAAACAAAGUAAACAAAACAGGACACCCCUAACACGACAGGUCGAGGUGUAACCAAUGAACAGGCCAAAGAUGGGCUACAUUUUCUAAUAAAGAACAUACGAAUAAACUAUGAAAAAGAAACUGAAGGUGGAUUUAGCAGUACAUUAAGGACAAAACACUUAAUAGAAACCAACGCAAUGAAGUGCGUACACACCGCCCGUCAUCCCUG
rnacentral:rRNA from 1 species